AAAUGUGUCGUUCUUUAAGGUUAAUUAAAGAUUGAAAGCGGGAUGGUUAAGACAUUGGACUUAGUAGUCCACCAAGUCCGGCUCAUUGACAGACUGUUACUCAACCCAAACAAUUAAUUUAACCUGCUUGAACUUUUUUAUAUAUAUUUAAAAAAAAAAAUACCAGUAACAUCUACAACAUAUUAUACAAUAUCUCUAUCUGUGUUGCAAGAAUUUUAGCUUAUGAAGGUGGAAUCACGGACAUUGCUAUAUUACAGCCAUCUUACAAACUGAGGGCAAGGAGCCAGCAAGAAACCUGGUACAGUGCUGGAAAAAAAAUUCACAGUAAAUGCUGCAGAACUGCUUUGACUGUGUAAGCUGAGACAUAUUUAGAAAUUCAUCAUUGUACUUGAAUGAAUGUGUUGACAUUGUUACGGGAUUCAUCAAAAAAAAUUGUUAGGGGUGUUGGAAAACCAACUAAGAGAUCCAGAGCAUUAGGGGCCUAUCAUGCAAGCUUCUGACCCUCAGAAACUUGCCUUCUGAUUGGGUUGUAACUUUGGGUCUGCCAGAUUUCUUCCUGUUAGAGUUUCUUCCCAUUUACAAUUGCCUGUGGAUUUUAUAGGAAACUGUACACAGUGACACUUUGAUUAGUUUUUACAGUUUAUCUAAAUGUAAGGC